AUCUAGACGCCUCUGCAACUAGUGAGGUAAAUCGUUAGAUUCAAUAUUUUUUUCAUUUGAUUUUUGUCAACUGUCGAUUUACUCCUUCCUGAAGAGGCAUGAUUCCUGCAUCAAUUUUCGACUUGCACGCAGCCUGUUUGACAGGCUUCCAAAGAGACUACCUUUAGACGCUUGAGAGCCUACCAUCUACAGGUUGGAAGAUGCUUAAUUUAUGUCUUACUUUUUCUAUUUUUAAAGUUUGUGGAGAUGAGUGAGGGAUAUGAAGAUAAUCAAAAUGUUGGUGAACAUCGUUCCUCUUUCUAAUCAGGGCUCUUUUUCAUUUGUCCGAUUUCUGGGUGAAGUAUUAACCUAUACACCAGAUGAUUGAAUAUAUUACUUAACUCUAGAAGUUCAAGUGAUGCAGCCUGCAGGGUCUGAUUUGGCGUAGAUUACUUACAUCAACCCACUAGAAGCAGAACCGUUGAUUUCCAUCAUACUAGCAAUAUCACCUGCUAACCAAGAUAUUGCAACAUCUGAUGCUAUUAAACUUGCCAAAGAGUUUGAUACAUUAGGUGAAAUGACCUUUUAUAUGUUGACAAAUCUUUACCUCCUAGACAAUGGAACCCCUUAGGUUAGCCUUCUUUUUCUCAACCAACCCCACAUGGCUAAGGGAUCCAUAGGUUGGUGUGCCUACGUGGAGUUUACUUUUUACAAACUUCUCUCACAUAUCCAAAGUGUUUGGUUAAUUUCGGUAGAUUCUGUGACCACGUAUGUUCUUUUCUGUGAUUGAGGACCAUAACAACCCCUUACUACAACUGAGGAAGAGCUUGCAAAACAUUUGACAACUUGUGGAUUUACCUCUACCCUUAAAGAAGGAUAACCAUCUUAGAAAUGCAAAAGUGAUGUCAGCCCAAAUCAUUAACAGAUACAAGACACUUAGAGGAAAUGUACAAUAGAUACAAAUGUAAGUUAUAUGUUAACCAUUUUAUUUACAAUCGUUUAUAACAUGUUAGUUACAUCUGGUAAAGUACAUUGUUAUUUACAAUCAAUAUAUUCUUUACAACGGAAAUAUGUUUUUCAA